CAAGGAAUUUUGUGCAAUGGGCGAAAGCCUGACACAGCAACGCCGCGUGGGGGAUGAAUGCCUUCGGGUUGUAAACCCCUUUUCUCAGGGACGAAUAAUGACGGUACCUGAGGAAUAAGCCUUGGCUAACUACGUGCCAGCAGCCGCGGUAAUACGUAGGAGGCGAGCGUUAUCCGGAUUUACUGGGCGUAAAGAGAGCGUAGGCGGCUUUUCAAGUCGGAUGUAAAAUCUCCCGGCUCAACUGGGAGGGAUCAUCCGAUACUGUUGGGCUAGAGGGCAGCAGGAGGAGGUGGAAUUCCCGGUGUAGUGGUGAAAUGCGUAGAUAUCGGGAGGAACACCAGUGGCGAAGGCGGCCUCCUAGGUUGUUUCUGACGCUGAGGCUCGAAAGUGUGGGUAGCGAACAGG
rnacentral:rRNA from 1 species